GAAGAGUCCCAAACCAGUGGGACUCUUGACCUCGGUACCCAAAAUAUGUGGGACUCAUGAUCAGAGAAUCCUGAUUCUCGAUCACAGAGUCUCAGACAUGUAGGACUCAUAGUUCAUAAAUAUUAAGACUCUUCAUCAGCCAUCAGAUCAGAUAGGAACCUCUAAUGUGUGUGACCCCGCAGGUUCGAACCUAAGCCGGUAGCACAGGAACCAAUUCUUGUACUAAUCAAAGUGACCAUCUAGCAAUGAUACCCGACAUUCGAAUAGGUUGAAUAGUCACAAUCAUAACACUCAAAACCUACAUGAAUAUGGUUACUGUAUAAUUCAUCUCUUUUAACCCCUGUGUAUAGGACGACUCAGGGUUAAACUGUCAACCCUGAUUAGAUCAUCCGAGUCAUGCUCAACUCAAUCAGUCCUGUGACUCCUCACUAGGACUACCCUGGUCAAAGUUUUGCUAAAUUGAAAUACGACUGUACACAGCUCCUGAACUGGAGUGGUUAAUCCCAUCUUGACACACGCACCGACAAGUCAAGUACUUGACUACACCCAGCAUCCUUCCGUCACUGAAUUAGAAAUUCAGGUAGUCCAGUGCCUAAGUGCAGUGAGUUGCUUGCAAGUCACCAUGGCGGUC
rnacentral:lncRNA from 1 species